AAUAAGUGCAGCCGUGGGUAUCCGUGUCCAACGUUUGACCGUCCGUCUUAUUUGAAAAAAUUAUGAAAAAAUUGAAAAAAAUUAGUCCCAUAUAAAGUACUAUUCAUGUUUUAUCAUCUAAUAACAAUAAAAAUACUAAUUAUUAAAAAAAUUUAAAUAAGACGAAUGGUCAAAUGUUAGACAUAAAUAGUGCAAAACUACACUUUUU
rnacentral:pre_miRNA from 1 species